rnacentral:lncRNA from 10 species
CUGCGGUGCAUUGAGGCUCAGAGAGAGGUGACUUCCGGGUGACAGCUCUGCGACUGCGCUUCAAGAUCACCCUGCUUCUACUCCCAGAGGCAUACCCCUAGUUCGCAGGGAAGUUCCAUUUCAUCACAGACCUGGGAAGCAGAGAGAAGCUUGUUGCCAUCCUUCCCCCACACCUUACUACUGCUUUGAACCAGUGUGCUGCAUUGAAAGAGAUAAGUAGAAAUAGUUGAACCAAAAAUUACAUGAUCCCAUAGUUUGUGCUUAAAAUAAACAAAGAAGCUGAUCUUUCAGUGAACAUGUUUUUAUUGAACACCAACUUAAUUUCAGGAACAUUUCAGGUACAUUGUCAGAAAUAAAGACUCUUAAGAAUGUAUUAUUAUGUACCCAAUACUGGUUUCAGGCCUUUACAUGUAUUCUCAUGAAACUCUAUGAAGUAGAUAUUAUUAUCAAUAUUCCUACUUUACAGAUGAGGAAACCCAGGCCUGGAGAGGUCAAGCAACUUGCUCAAGUGGCACAGCUGGAGAGUGGGGAGCUGGGACUUGAGCCCAGGUAGUGUGUCCCCAGCACCUUCAACUAAACUCCAUUCUGUGCUGCCCUUUGGAACACCCACUCAAUGGCCUUCACACUCCAUGUCCUACUUGGGAGGACAUGUGAUCUCAACAGCACUCACAAAUGAAGGCUUUCCAGACAGGAUAUUGAAGAUGGGAGGUGUGAGCUGUGGGAGAGAGCUGACUAAGAAGAAGAAACUCCCCAGAAAGGUGGCCUGCCAGUCUUCACGAUGUAUGGGAGCAGGUGGGAAAAGAGGUAGGCAGAAAGGAUAGUUUGAAUGAUGCUAGAAAAUUGUCCUUCUCCCUGGGGGCUAGGCAUUGCAGCCCUUUUAUUUUCUCUUCCUGAUGAAGACAAGUAAAACUAAGUGGAAUGCAUGUGGCCUUGGAGUCACACUUAUCUGGGUUCAAAUCCUACCAAUGCUUUCCUGGCUCUUUUGCUUCUAGGAAGUUACAUAACAUCUUUUAACCUGAGUUUCUACAU